UACGGAGGGUGCAAGCGUUGUCCGGAUUUAUUGGGUUUAAAGGGUGCGUAGGCGGCUCUGUAAGUCAGUGGUGAAAGCCUCCAGCUCAACUGGAGAACUGCCAUUGAUACUGCAGGGCUUGAGUACAGACGAGGUUGGCGGAAUUGAUAGUGUAGCGGUGAAAUGCAUAGAUACUAUCAAGAACUCCGAUGGCGGAGGCAGCUAACUAGGCUGUAACUGACGCUGAGGCACGAAAGCGUGGGGAGCGAACAGG
rnacentral:rRNA from 1 species